AAUUAACAACGAUUAAUAUCAAAGUAACCAUUUGGUUUCUGAAGCCUACAAGAACGUGACUAUGCCUCGACUCAUUUAAUUUGAUUCAGAGAGUGGGCUACAUGGUAACAGCAUCCAAACUAAAAAAUCAAAAGAAAAAUCAUAUCCUGUUUUAGCAAGUAACUUAGAAAUUAGCAAGUGGAUAUCUAAAAGACUAGAAAAUGUAAAAACAA
rnacentral:misc_RNA from 1 species